rnacentral:lncRNA from 1 species
CCACUCUUUUUAUUUUUUGAAAAAAGUGAGGCGUUUUAUAAUAGUCUAAAUGUAUUAAAAUUACAAACAUGUCCUUCAUAUGUCUCUUUUGUUAGUAAUUUUCUUAGAAGAUUUUGACUGGGAGAAGGUUGUUGAGGAGUAUAAAAUUUAUCGUGGAAAAAUCUUAAAACUAAAUCAGGUGGUUUUACUAAUUCAAUAAACCAGUGGCUAGUGAAUCAAUUAGUCUGCAUCGGUGGAGAAAGCUAGCUUGUUUUUGGAGGAGUUAGCACAUAGUAGGUCUUUGGUAUGGUGAUUUUGGCCUCCGUCCUUUUUCUGGUCUGCUGGUGUUUUGCCUGCAGUUUUAUCUGUGGCAUGUUUUUGUUUCCAAUGGGUUUGUAAUUGUAUCAGGUUUGCGCGUGUCUGUAUCAUGGUUCCUGAUUUGCUGUUGUUUUGCUUGUUUCAGGAGCUGUGAUGCUGCUGUGUAUCAGGUGUUGGCUGGCACUAUAAAUAUUGGCUCCAACAUAUUCAAGCUUUUGGCAACAGGAUUGAUUAAGUGUGUGCGCGCAGGUUUUCCCUGUUGGUUCCAUGUGCUUGUUAAAUUCAUAGUGGUCUUCUUAUGCAUCUUGCUUACAGUUUUGCACUACUGUUUUUUGCAU